rnacentral:rRNA from 1 species
GAUGAACGCUGGCGGCGUGCCUAAUACAUGCAAGUCGAGCGAACAGAUAAGGAGCUUGCUCCUUUGACGUUAGCGGCGGACGGGUGAGUAACACGUGGGUAACCUACCUAUAAGACUGGGAUAACUUCGGGAAACCGGAGCUAAUACCGGAUAACAUUUAGAACCGCAUGGUUCUAUAGUGAAAGACGGUUUUGCUAUCACUUAUAGAUGGACCCGCGCCGCAUUAGCUAGUUGGUAAGGUAACGGCUUACCAAGGCGACGAUACGUAGCCGACCUGAGAGGGUGAUCGGCCACACUGGAACUGAGACACGGUCCAGACUCCUACGGGAGGCAGCAGUAGGGAAUCUUCCGCAAUGGGCGAAAGCCUGACGGAGCAACGCCGCGUGAGUGAUGAAGGUUUUCGGCUCGUAAAACUCUGUUAUUAGGGAAGAACAAAUGUGUAAGUAACUGUGCACAUCUUGACGGUACCUAAUCAGAAAGCCACGGCUAACUACGUG